ACCAUCCUUGUCUUGGGGUGCGCGGCAACUCAGUGAACGUAUAGUGAGAGUUGUCCUGCUGACGCCACUAACAGCACAAGAGCAUCACUAGUGUGAAAACACUAACACGGUGCAAUUUUUGGAAAC
rnacentral:ncRNA from 1 species